rnacentral:rRNA from 1 species
CCAAUAGCGUAUAUUAAAGUUGUUGCAGUUAAAAAGCUCGUAGUUGAACUUCGGGGUUCACCCAUUGGUCAGGCUUAAUUGUCUGCACUGGUGAGAUGAGUCUCUACCUUCUGAGGAACUUUCAUGCCAUUUAUUUGGUGUGAUUGGAAAUCAGGACUGUUACUUUGAAAAAAUUAGAGUGUUUAAAGCAGGCUAACGUCUGAAUACAUUAGCAUGGAAUAAUGAAAUAGGACGGACUGAUUCUAUUUCGUUGGUUUCUAGGAUCACCGUAAUGAUUAAUAGGGAUAGUUGGGGGCAUUAGUAUUCAAUUGUCAGAGGUGAAAUUCUUGGAUUUAUUGAAGACUAACUACUGCGAAAGCAUUUGCCAAGGAUGUUUUCAUUAAUCAAGAACGAAAGUGAGGGGAUCGAAGACGAUCAGAUACCGUCGUAGUCUUAACCAUAAACUAUGCCGACUAGGGAUCGGAUGAUGUUAAUUUUUUAAUGACUCAUUCGGCGCCUUACG